AACACGUUAGGUGAUCUACCUCUGGAUGGGGGAUAGCCCAUGGAAACAUGGGGUAAUACCGCAUAGAGUCUACGUUCAUAAGGGAUGUAGAUUAAAGGCGCAAUUGUGCUGUCUGGAGAUGAGCCUGCGGUCCAUUAGUUAGUUGGCAGGGUAAGAGCCUACCAAGGCGAUGAUGGAUAGCCGGCCUGAGAGGGUGUACGGUCACACUGGGACUGAGACACGGCCCAGACUCCUACGGGAGGCAGCAGCUAAGAAUAUUCCGCAAUGGGCGCAAGCCUGACGGAGCGACGCCGCGUGGACGAUGAAGGCCGAGAGGUUGUAAAGUCCUUUUGCAGAUGAAGAAUAAGGCGAGGAGUGGAACGUCUUGCUGAUGACGUUAGUCUGCGAAUAAGCCCCGGCCAAUUACGUGCCAGCAGCCGCGGUAAUACGUAAGGGGCGAGCGUUGUUCGGAUUUAUUGGGCGUAAAGGGCGUGUAGGCGGUUUUGUAAGCCUGAUGUUAAAGGCCUUGGCUCAACCAAGGUUUGGCGUUGGGAACUGCGAGACUAGAGUUCAGGAGGGGGAGCUGGAAUUCCAGGUGUAGGGGUGAAAUCUGUAGAUAUCUGGAAGAACACCGGUGGCGAAGGCGAGCUCCUAGCCAUGGACUGACGCUGAGGCGCGAAAGCGUGGGGAGCGAACAGGAUUAGAUACCCUGGUAGUCCACGCCGUAAACGAUGUGCACUAGGCG
rnacentral:rRNA from 1 species